UACGAAGGGGGCUAGCGUUGUUCGGAUUUACUGGGCGUAAAGCGCACGUAGGCGGAUCGUUAAGUCGGGGGUGAAAUCCUGGAGCUCAACUCCAGAACUGCCUUCGAUACUGGCGAUCUUGAGUUCGGGAGAGGUGAGUGGAACUGCGAGUGUAGAGGUGAAAUUCGUAGAUAUUCGCAAGAACACCAGUGGCGAAGGCGGCUCACUGGCCCGAUACUGACGCUGAGGCACGAAAGCGUGGGGAGCAAGCAGG
rnacentral:rRNA from 1 species